UUAUAUAAUUCCAAACGCCAUAAUUAAGUGAUCCCAUAGUUAAGCUUGAAGUUGCUCUUAAGAUUUUGUUGAGGGAAUAGUUGAUAUGAUCGAGCGGUUGAUGUUGGGAGCCAAAGAUUAUGUUGCUCUUCUUCUUCUUCUUCUUCUUUUUUUUUUUUUUUGAAGACUUGAAUUUUUUAGUACAGUGUAUUUAAAGAUGAUUAAUGGAUAAUGUCUAUUAUAAAUUUAA